rnacentral:rRNA from 1 species
CUACGGGAGGCAGCAGUGAGGAAUAUUGCACAAUGGGGGGAACCCUGAUGCAGCAACGCCGCGUGGAGGAUGACGCAUUUCGGUAUGUAAACUCCUUUUAUAUGUCAAGAAAAUGACGGUAGCAUAUGAAUAAGCACCGGCUAACUCCGUGCCAGCAGCCGCGGUAAUACGGAGGGUGCAAGCGUUACUCGGAAUCACUGGGCGUAAAGGACGCGUAGGCGGGUUGGAAAGUCAGGUGUGAAAUCCUACAGCUUAACUGUAGAACUGCACUUGAAACUUCUAAUCUAGAGUAUGGGAGGGGGAGAUGGAAUUAGUGGUGUAGGGGUAAAAUCCGUAGAUACCACUAGGAAUACCUAAAGCGAAGGCGAUCUCCUGGAACAUUACUGACGCUAAGGCGUGAAAGCGUGGGGAGCAAACAGGAUUAGAUACCCGAGUAGUC